rnacentral:rRNA from 1 species
UACGUAGGGCGCAAGCGUUGUCCGGAAUUAUUGGGCGUAAAGGGCGCGUAGGCGGCUUUGCAAGUGGCGGGUGAAAUCCCUCGGCUUAACCGAGGAACUGCCUGUCAGACUGUGAGGCUUGAGACCGGGAGAGGUGAGUGGAAUUCCCAGUGUAGCGGUGAAAUGCGUAGAUAUUGGGAGGAACACCAGAGGCGAAGGCGGCCGGCUGGACCGGACCUGACGCUGAGGCACGAAGGCGUGGGGAGCGAACGGG